rnacentral:rRNA from 1 species
GACGUAGGGCGCGAGCGUUGUCCGGAUUUAUUGGGCGUAAAGAGCUCGUAGGCGGCUUGUCGCGUCGUUCGUGAAAACCCGGGGCUCAACUCCGGGCUUGCGGGCGAUACGGGCAGGCUAGAGUUCGGUAGGGGAGACUGGAAUUCCUGGUGUAGCGGUGAAAUGCGCAGAUAUCAGGAGGAACACCGGUGGCGAAGGGCGG